ACUCUGACCUCUGACUGUUCGCACAAAUGUCCUUCAGUGAUUCCUGAAAUCUGGUUGGUUUGAGACAGUUGUCUUUCGUGGUUUUGUUUGUUUGUUUUUUGUUAUUGUUUUUAUUUAUUUUUUUUUUUUUGGUUGUUUUGCCCUGAAGUUUCAAAUCAACGUGCAGGGCCGGACUCUUUCUUUUUAGGCCGAGGGGUUGCCCACACAAAGGACCAAAAGGCUCCAUCACUGUGUGACAGAUGAUCAGAUUCUGAAGUUGGUGCAUGGUUUGUAAUUAAAGGUGUGCUUAUAAGAGAGAGAAUCUAAGAUUUGAAAUUUUUUCGGCGAUCAAUGGUUCCUAGCUAUAGUCUAGGCCUCCGAUAUAAAGACGCUUCGGUAAGCUUGAUGAUUACAGGGGGGCAAACACAGUCAACUAUUUUCUACUUACAGGAAAUAGUAACAUUGAAAAAGCCACAUUAUUUGAAAAGAGUUGAAAUUCAGCUGCUUUAGGGUAUAAUGUAAAUUCAUUAGAACAUAAUGAUUUGUUCUAGUAUUUAAACAAUUUUGUGUUUCUUUCUUUAACAUAUUUUAACACAAAUUUUAGUAAAAGGAAAUUAUGCAAGACUUGGUUUAUAGACUUAAACCUGUGUAUAGAUUUCUUUGCUGUCAUAUUAAAAAUAUAUCCAGAAUUGCAUUGUGAACACACCUGUGCUUUCUGUAUUUGCCAGGGCAUAGGACAUCUAUGAAACUUUAUAUCACUUGGUUAUAGAGAAAACACUGUUGUAAUUUGAGUUCAGACCAAUUCAAUCACAUGUAAAGUACCAGCUGAAAGACAUUUCGAGUAGUGUGUAAUUUACAAUGAGGUUUUUCGAUUGUUUUAUUUUUUUUCUUUCCAUUUUCCCCAUUCCAUUCUUCUGAUAUCAGGAGUGGCUAAAGAGGUGUAUAACAUUCAGAGGUUAGAAAGAAAAAAGAGAGUGAAACUUGGCAUAAAGAACCAAGAAGUGGUGAAUAGGAGUCUGCCAUUUAGAGAAAGCAACAGGCCUUUGCAGUACAGAAUAGAGUAUCCUAGGAAACACCGAGAAGAAUUUCCUCAGCAGGCUUGUGUUACGUAGUCCAAUGACAUUUAACCAACUAGAGAUUUCAAUCUCAUUUCUGUGGAAACCUUUGCCGUGAAAAAUCUGUGGCAGCCAGAAGAGGUGGUUCAGGCUUAUGCUCUCGACACUCUGGAUUGACGCAGGUGGAAUGAGGCCAGCUCGUGCUAAUAUGAGCUUCUGUUUCAAAAUCCUCAAAAGUCUCUAGCUGUGCCUUGGGACUGAGCUGCAGGGGCACAGGACUACUUGCAUCCAAAGUUAAAGGGAGACAAGGAUUUUCAUGAAAAUUCUACUAGCUCUUCAAUGUGUGGACAGUGAUGUGUACAGUCCUCUAAAGCAAGGAUCUCAGAAGGAUGGGACACUGUCGGAUGAGGGAACCACUGAGGCCUUCAGAGCUAUGUCAGAGUAAUUAGAUUGGCUUUGGUCUCUUUAAUGUGCACACACAGAAAAUAGCCUUUUCUCUUUGGGGGCUUGAAGGAAAAAGAACCAGCACUGCCCAUGAAGAAAGUGAGUCUGAAGAGACUUCAUGAGCAACCAGGUUAUCCAAAUGAAGCUACUCACAUGACCUUGUGGGAAAAUAGGAGACUCACUUCCUAUGAGGACAGCCAGGACCUAUGUGGCUGGCCUUAAAGAAAAGUUGGUGAGGUGGUAGGCACCACACAACCUGUAGAGAGGAAGGUAGAGUACAGCAACAGGGAAGAAUGGAGGGCAAAGUAUUUGAUUAUCCACAUAGUCUAUUCUAUAAUUGAAACAGUCCUUAUGUAACCUGCUACUGUUUAUAGUGAUUAUAUAUCAGUGAGGGAAAAAAUGGCAUAAUUAAUUUUUUCCCAUUCAGCUGUGUGAUAGUUAAUCUUCAUUAUCGAGUUACUGGAUUUAGAAUCACCUAGGAGACAUAUUCUGAACGCGUUUUUAGAGCUUCCGGAGAGGUUUAAUUAGAAUGAAAGUCUAACUAGAAUGGUGCGAUUCUGUAAGUAAAAAGGAUUGAAUAUAAAAGAAAAAAAGAAAGCGAACAUUCCUUUUUCUCUCCUUUCGGAUUGCAGAUACUUCUCAGAAUCAUGACAUCAUCCUCAUGCCACCGACUGUGUCUCCUCAAAACACUUCCUGACUGCAAUUCCACAUUUUGAAACAAAUGGACCCACCUCUGCCUCUGUUCUGACGUGGAAUCCGCAGAAGGAAAUCAGAUACAGUUGGUGAUGUGUGAUAAGACGGUGUUCACAGAGACAUUAAUAACAGAGCUGAGCUGUGGCAGAUGAACACAUACUUUCCAGGUGAAAAGACAGAGACAACGAAGUGGAACAGCUUGGCAUGCAUCUCUGCUGUAAAACCCCUCACGGCAUACAAGUGACUUCUAUUCAAUGUGGCAUGAAUGGCAAGUAAAUGAAGGCUUUCAGUGUAAUGAGUUUGAAAAGGCUAACGGGAGGUUCCUGGACCAGAGGCUCACAAGUUAAGGGGAUUGCAGCUUACCACUUGCCUAUCAAAAGUGUAUGACUAACAGCAGGAAGGAUGAGCAGAUUCGUGUAUCAGAAGAAUACGGGAUGGAGUAUGGGCAGAUGUGCCUUGGGGAAGAAGCUGUAAGGCACAGGGUACAACUUGGAAAAGAUCACUGUCUGUGAGCACGGUCAUGUGACCUUUACUUUGUACUAGACAAGGUGGCUGGGCGCUGCCCAGGUGGUCUGCAAGCAGAUUCAAGGCCCGAUAUCCAAGUGGGAGCUGAUGAAAGUGAGAAGGGCUAUCUAAAUGGUGGGCUGAUAUCUUUGAUAUUAUUCUGGGAGGAAUCAUGGGAACAUUGGAAUAGUGAUGAGGUCCUUCUAGUCUUUAAUUAGUUUAAUUCAUAGUCCUUGGGAGAUAUGCAGGUUUGAUGUCCAGUGGAGAUGUGAGUUUGGAACUCAGGAUAAAGGUCUUAGAGGUGUCAGCAAAAGCCCUCUCCAUGAGAUGGAACCCAUCGCUGACACUGCUUGGGUGACAAGAACAUGAGAUUAGUUGUGUCAGAGACCUAAGGUAAGACCAAAUACUGCUGUUCUGCUAUAGGAAAUUAGCAAUAAAAUGCCUUCUAAUGAUGUUCUGCUAUACUCAUAGACCAGCCCCUUGCUCAGACAUCAUCAAAAAAGUUUUUUUCUGCAGCAGAUGGAACAAAUACAGAGGCCCACAACUGGACAAUGUGCACACACAAUCAAGGUGUCGCUAUCAAAUCUCUCCCCUCAAAGCUCAGGAAACCCUGCUGAAGAGGAGGUAGGAAGCUUGUAAGAGCCAGGUGCUUAUUUGUUUUCUAAUAACACAGAGAAAGAAAGAGUCUGGAUUUCAGUGGGAGGACUUGGGAGGGAAACCAUAAUCAGAAUACAGUGUAUUAAAAAAAUUCAACAAAUACAAUAGAAAAAGAAGAACUAUCAGCAAUACAUUGGAUAAUAUGAUUCAGGACUGGUAUGAAGAGUAAUUGCCAAAUAAACUCCACAAAACCCAAACCGAACCAAACCAAACCAAACCUAAAACUCUCACUAAAGAUGAGGAAAGGAACCAGAACUGACAAAGAAGAGAUUUAAGAAGCUACCCAGAGAUUUAUCAUUAUGAGUGCCAAGAAGGUCAUUGGCUAUUUUCACAACUCUUAUCAGGCAUUCAAUCAAUUCUGGAAGAAAGACUAAAAAUACAUGGUUGCUGUGUAUGUUUGAUGUAUGUAGGGCUGCCUGCUUGUCUGCAUGGGUAUCAUGCGUGUGCAGUGCUCAUGGAGGCAAGAAGAGGAAAGUGGAUACCUUAGGACUGGAGUUGUGGGCAGUUGUGAGCCAUCACCUAAGAUUUGAGAACUGAACUGAGGCCCCUGCAAGAACAGCAAGUGCUUCUCAACUCCUAGCAACCUCUCCAUCCUGACUGUAUGCAUUUUGAGGGAGACACGUAUCUGGAAAUGCUUGGAGCUCAGGAGAAACCCCAGCUGUUUGGAUUCAGGAUGCUCUUCGGUUCUUCCCUUUGAACGCUGCCCACACUCUCUCUUGAUCAGUCACUAGUAUUUUGUGACAUUCACAAGACUCCUUGUUUGUGAGCACAUUUCUCUCUCAAAAAUCAUUUAAUUAUUUUAUACAUGAAGAAAAUUGUUCUUCAACAGGAAAAAUGAGACCAGGCAUGGAAUAGGAAAACUAGAAGAGAACUAUACUGUACUGGUUGACUGUGUGUGUCAACUUGACACAAGCUGGAUCAAGGGUGGGGGGGGGCCCACUGUAGGUGGUGCCAU
rnacentral:sRNA from 1 species